AAUCCAUGGUGAGGACACCUUCGUAGUAAGUUAUUGUAUCUCUCCCAUGCAUCGUAAAGAGUUUCUAAGUCCAUCUGCACAAAUGAAGAGAUAUCAUUACAUAAUGUGGCC
rfam:Gossypium arboreum cultivar AKA8401 contig_17982_3, whole genome shotgun sequence.